UACAUCGUGAUGAUAGGGAAAGUAUCAUAUCUGUCUUACCCGCAGAGAGUCGGCUAGGGUGAAAACCGACGGAAGACAAAUAUGAGAAAGCCACCCUUGAACUGUAAGCUGAAAAUGAGUAGGCCUUACCGUACCUGGCGUUAACAGGAUCAAGCGAGCCUUGUGGCUAAUUUAGGUGGUACCGCGGGAACUAAUAAUCUCGUCCUUUUC
rnacentral:ncRNA from 1 species